GGUGUGGGAUGAGCCCGCGGCCUAUCAGCUUGUUGGUGGGGUGACGGCCUACCAAGGCGACGACGGGUAGCCGGCCUGAGAGGGUGUCCGGCCACACUGGGACUGAGAUACGGCCCAGACUCCUACGGGAGGCAGCAGUGGGGAAUAUUGCACAAUGGGCGCAAGCCUGAUGCAGCGACGCCGCGUGGGGGAUGACGGCCUUCGGGUUGUAAACCUCUUUCACCAUCGACGAAGGUCCGGGUUCUCUCGGAUUGACGGUAGGUGGAGAAGAAGCACCGGCCAACUACGUGCCAGCAGCCGCGGUAAUACGUAGGGUGCGAGCGUUGUCCGGAAUUACUGGGCGUAAAGAGCUCGUAGGUGGUUUGUCGCGUUGUUCGUGAAAUCUCACGGCUUAACUGUGAGCGUGCGGGCGAUACGGGCAGACUAGAGUACUGCAGGGGAGACUGGAAUUCCUGGUGUAGCGGUGGAAUGCGCAGAUAUCAGGAGGAACACCGGUGGCGAAGGCGGGUCUCUGGGCAGUAACUGACGCUGAGGAGCGAAAGCGUGGGGAGCGAACAGGAUUAGAUACCCUGGUAGUCCACGCCGUAUACGGUGGGUACUAGGUGUGGGUUUCCUUCCUUGGGAUCCGUGCCGUAGCUAACGCAUUAAGUACCCCGCCUGGGGAGUACGGC
rnacentral:rRNA from 1 species